GCCUAACAGCACUAGAAUCUCGAAAGCCAACAGGCAAAGAGACAAAAAGCACGUGAAAAAUCUUAAAAGAUGAAAACCAGUUAAGGCAUUCCACAUGAAGACAACCAACCAAAGUGGGGAGUGCAACGUUAGUCAAAGCAAUAAUGGAAGGGCAUCUCUAGAUUUGAGAACCACAAUUGGAAUUCAUUCCCCAAGGAGAUGAAGCUCUCCUUCAACUGCAAAGCCCCCUGUAAUUCACGGUGGCUGGUAUCGGGGCUGAGGUCGGACAGCGCUGGAACUGGCAGAGGCAAAAACAGAGGUGAGCUCUCUAACUGUGUUUGUGUUUGAGUACCAGAGCUGCUCUCCUGCUAACAAGGUUGUUUCUUCAUUUCUUUGCUCCCUGGUUCGAACUCUGAAUUCUUGAGAGCCCAUCUUGUCUUUUCUCAAAGCAUCCUUGAGCUCAAUCGGUUGGUUCCAAGUCCAGUAUGGGGGAAGUUUUCCAUUUUGAGCUAAUUUAGCCAGGGUGUGGGCACUUUUGUUUCCAGAUCUUGGUGUCCAGUUGCAGGUUGUCAGAUUCAAAAAUAACUUUGGAGAAGUCCAUGUUGAUUGCUGCUAAUACCGCUUCCCUUAGAGCAAAAGCUUCUACAAUGAUUGGUUUGGUGGACAAGCUACGUUUUGUAGCUCCCCAAGUAAGAUCACCCUUGUCAUCUCUGAAAAUUACACCCGUCCAAGCCUGGUUUCUCUGUUUGUUGAUCCCUGCAUCUGUGUUACACUUUAGAUAACCCCUCAGGGGUCUCUUCCAUAACUUACUACAAUUUGAUCUCCCAGGAUUUUGAUGAGGUUUUUCUUCGGUUGAAUUCUGUUCCAUAAAUUCCUUGUGUGCUCUGUUUAUGUUUCCUAAACAGAGCAGAGGGUUUGGCUUUCCAUUCUUGAAGGUUGAAUUGUUCCUAAUUUUCCACAUUUCCCAAAGGGUGAAACCUAAA